CAUAAAAUAACCUUGUAUUGACAAAACUCAGAAUUUUUAUAGCCUAUUACCUACACGGUAUGUUUUUUUUUUUCUUACAUCAAGAAUCGGUUCAUAAAGUUUUUUUUAUCGGGUUACACUUCUCUUUGCCACUUUUCGUGUUGUUUGUUCGACUCAGACUCUAUAAAACCGACACAAGAGCAAUUCAUCAAAGAGUCGAAUUGCACUGACUGUGCUGCAUAAUCUGGUAAUCAGACAGUUCUCAUUUUGAUGGCCCAUCUCCAGCUUGGACUGCCAGAGGAAAUGUCCGCGUUUUUCAGUGCACAAAACCAUUAUCCGAAUAUUGAAUACUGAAUUUCACUUAACUGAAAGGCUUGAAAAUAGGUCAGAAACAGACCAACAGGGGACGCCGUUUGCCAUUGCAGCCUCAAGUCACGUUAUUACUCGUCUUCCGCUACAUGCUCGCGCUAAACUAAUUUACAGGUUUAAACGACGUAGGUUGACGAUCAUCUUCAUCAUCAUUAUUAAGAAACUCUGUCCAUCCAGAAAUCCUGGUGUUUCCUGGAGGACAUACCCUCACUCCAUCCAGAAUGAAUCCGCUACACCUGUGUGUGAAAAGGUCACCUGACCACCCGUUGGCGAGUCAAGACCGAUCCCGCUGCCACACCAGAUUAUAGACAGAGGUGGAAAUGACAGUAGAUCUGUACCAUCCCCUGGCUCAUGACCUGCUACUGAAAUACUUCAAGUUAAUCGAUAAAACAGUGGUGCGUUUCCCAGCUAAUGUCAAGUGUCUGAGGACCACCACCUUGAUGCAUUAUUAAAUGCACAUACGCAGACUGGAGGCAAAGACGUGGAACAGAAGCCCCGGCGAAAUGAACGCAAGAUCUGACAGAGAGAGCGAAAGAGGGAGAGAAAACUUAAUUGAAGCCUGAUUACUGGCCCUUGGGAGGUUACAGUUUAUUAAUAUGUCACUUUCAAUAAAGACACUCCCAUAUUCAGAUUCACUGUUACCAUGGAAACCUCGUUUCUUUUUACGUUUGACUUUUUUUCCCCUCCCUGAGUGGAAGGAGAGGUUAAUGACACAAAUCCUCCCGACGCUCAGGUUGAUUUUCAAACCCCUCUGUCUGAAAUAAUCAGUGUUUUGCUUUUCUACAGCUCUGUCUUUGCCCUCUGAGCCGCUGUGGGAAGAGAGGAGAUAUUUUAUGCCCAUUAUUCAUUAUGUGUUCGAUUUUUCAGGAAACCAAAUGGCCCACAUUUAAACAGCCUGUGAAAUAAUACAGCUGAAGAUUUACAUUUAAUGUGCAGUACAAGUAAUUUAAUGUUUGUUUUUCACUUAAAGUUAUUAAUCUUCCAGAACAAUCAAUGUGUCAGUAUUAGCCCCUCUGCUGCCCCCACCAGUUUUGGAGUACAUAUGGCGUUUAUGUGGUGUUAUCCCAGGAUGACCAGUGCACGCAAGUUGAAAUUCUCUGGAAAAUGUAGGUGUUGGAGGUAUGUCUGUUUACAGCAUAUUAACUCUAAAAUUGCAAGUUAAGGCUAGUUAUGUGAUUUCAAAUUGGGCAUGGAGAAUCUACUUUGCAUUGUACACAGAAGACUGCUAACUGUUUCCAAUUUCUAGGCUGCUGAUAUGUCAUAUUUCAUUUUAUUGUACAUGUUAAACAUAUUUUCUAAAAUCACUAUUCAUAUCUGUAAGUGUACGAGUUAAAAAAAACACUUAAAUUGAUUGAUUUACUGUCAGACAGCUUCUGUAUUGACUGGUUGUAUGAAUGGACUGUUACAUUCAUGCAGUGCUUUUCCAAACACUGUGUUUUUCAUGAAUGCAGUCUAUAGCGGUCACCAGUGUGACACAAUGGCAGCUGCAAUGUUUCUCUACUCGCAUCUAAUUGACUUUGUACAGAGAAAGACAUUUUUAGGUUUGUAGGUGGCAAAUGUUUGGAUAGGUGACCACAGUUUCAUAGUUGACAUCUUGGGACAUUUCUGACCACCAAAACAACUCAGUGUUGCAACACACGGCCAUCCUUGAGAGAUACUAUCAUAUACCAUGGAAGUGUUUGCUUGAAAUGCUUGUAGUAGAUGUAAACAGAUGCCUGAGUGAAAGUUACUUGUUUUGCUCGCAGGAAGCAGCCCUAAAUUCCGCAGUAGGCUUCCCAACCGUGUCUAGUCCAGACAACAAAAGCUUUGACACUGAGAUGUUCACAGUUUCUCUUAAGGCAGUGGUGGCAAGCUGUGUGUAAAGAGAGGAUUAUUUCAGCUGAAAUGGACCCGGUUUAUCUAUUGUAUAGCUGACGUGCCUACUGCCACUUUCCUCUUCCAGGCCUUGAUGAAGUCAGUGUUUGUUCUGGGUUGACAUAAUAGAACCCCGAAGAGCAUUGUAAAGGCCUGACUGGUCCAUCCACACACUCCUCAGCAAGGAGGAAGAAUUGAGUUUGAUUCACAGUCAAAAUUUAAAUGUUGGCGUACACCAUUGGGAGAAAAAAAAAAAAAAAAAAUCCAGAAAUGCAUUGACUCAGUAGAAACACUUUCUUUUAUCAGAGCCGUUUUUUCCCAGAUCUGUGUAAUCCUUUAGUGUGAUGUCAUGCAUUUCAGAUUCCUAAAAAUAGGAUAUCGUUAUUUAUAGCAAAUGAGGCGAGUGCUGUUUGUGCCAUGCCAUAUGAAAAAAAAAUAUAUAUAUAUAUUGUUUUCAUUGUGUUUCAGAUAUUUUUACCCACAAGCUGGUUGUUAGUUUUUGUUAAUUUACAUUUGAUGUGGGUGGCAGCUUCAAGCUUGUGUAUUAUAGCUAUAAAAGUGUUGCAUAGUUUUAUCAUUGUGUAAAGUCUUUGUGUCUGCGUGCCUUUUUCCAUGCAUUUGAGUUUGGCCUGGAAGUGUGUUAUCUGCAGCGCCUCAGUGGCAUUGAGCUCACUUCCUUCAUCAGAGACCCAAACCCCUGCAGAUAAGUUCCCCGGACCUGCCUCUACCAGGGGAAUUCUCCGACAGGAAGUGGCACAAUAGCCAGUCCAUUAGCUCCUAUUAGUCUGCACCUGCCUGUUACAGCAGGGCCAAAAUAAGCAACCAGCAGCACUUCCUGUCUGAGCUCAUAGUGCCAGAGCCCGGCACGCUGUGAAAUCACUCAGGGAGCAAUCGAGUCUUACACGAAACGGUAGCUCAGGGCCUGUGGGAUGGACUAUCAGGAGAAGUGAUUAUGCGUGUCUGAGAGAGAGAGAAAGGAAGAGCAUGGGGUAAAAGAAGCUGAUUUGCGAGGGUCUGCAUGUGUGUGUGUGUGUCUACACGAGUUAGUGCUGUCUCUGCAUGAGCAGGACUGAGUCAAUUGCUUUAGAUUGUGCUGAUGGACUGGAAUGCUUUCAGACCAACGCUUCCAUCUGAGGUGAGAUAGACAGACAAGCUGUCCACAUC